rnacentral:rRNA from 1 species
UACAGGGGGUGCUAGCGUUGUUCGGAAUUACUGGGCGUAAAGGGCGCGUAGGCGGUUUAGCAAGUCAGAUGUGAAAGCCCGGGGCUCAACUCCGGAUCUGCGGUGGGUACGGGCAGACUAGAGUGAUGUAGGGGAGACUGGAAUUCCUGGUGUAGCGGUGAAAUGCGCAGAUAUCAGGAGGAACACCGAUGGCGAAGGCAGGUCUCUGGGCAUUAACUGACGCUGAGGAGCGAAAGCAUGGGGAGCGAACAGG